rnacentral:rRNA from 1 species
UUUAUGGAGAGUUUGAUCCUGGCUCAGGAUGAACGCUGGCGGCGUGCCUAAUACAUGCAAGUCGAGCGAACGGACGAGAAGCUUGCUUCUCUGAUGUUAGCGGCGGACGGGUGAGUAACACGUGGAUAACCUACCUAUAAGACUGGGAUAACUUCGGGAAACCGGAGCUAAUACCGGAUAAUAUUUUAAACCGCAUGGUUCAAAAGUG